AGAAAACAUUCGCUUGGUUUAAAUUUUAUGGAUGGAUUCAAUAUUUCAAGCAACCCAAAAGCAGCCAAUACAUGUAAUCCAGAGAGGCGAACCAUGAAAUGUCUGGCACAAUUACAAACCACAUUCCUUGUGGGUAGCCAGAAGAGAAGACUUCUGGGAACACACAAAUAAAAAACAACAAGUGCUGAGUCCCCUGCAGCCAGCGGAAGGAAACCCUAUCAGACAAGCCCAGUCUCCAAAGGAAUAACAAAGCCACUCAACUGAAUCUGUGGCUGUACAUGAGAAACAUAAGCACCACCAUCACAUUUUAUUCUGUUAUCCUACAGUAUGUUAUAUCUGUUAAAACUUUAACAUGAUCAUUACUAGUUAUGAUUUCCAUAGUUAAAUGAUAUAAAUCUGUGAUAAUUUUAUAAUCUACAUGCAGUUUUUUUUAAAGGAAAAUGCACACAAUAUUUUUGAACAAAAUAUAUAGAAAUUUCUGUGUUACAUUAGCCAAAAUCUAGCUUAAUUAACUGGGACUAGAGAGGAGAGUAUGUGUGUUAGAGGCUGUUCACACAGGACGUGUUCUUGCAUUCAAAAUAGCUAGA